rnacentral:rRNA from 1 species
AUUGAACGCUGGCGGCGUGCUUAACACAUGCAAGUCGAGCGGCAGCGCGGGGCAACCUGGCGGCGAGCGGCGGACGGGUGAGUAACGCUUGGGAAUCUGCCUAUUAGUGGGGGACAACCCGGGGAAACUCGGGCUAAUACCGCAUACGAUCUAAGGAUGAAAGCCGGGGACCGCAAGGCCUGGCGCUAAUAGAUGAGCCCAAGUCGGAUUAGCUAGUUGGUAGGGUAACGGCCUACCAAGGCGACAAUCCGUAGCUGGUCUGAGAGGACG